CCUACGUGGGGCAGCAGUGAGGAAUAUUGGUCAAUGGGCGCGAGCCUGAACCAGCCAAGUAGCGUGAAGGAUGACUGCCCUACGGGUUGUAAACUUCUUUUAUAAAGGAAUAAAGUGAGGCACGUGUGCCUUUUUGUCUGUACUUUAUGAAUAAGGAUCGGCUAACUCCGUGCCAGCAGCCGCGGUAAUACGGAGGAUCCGAGCGUUAUCCGGAUUUAUUGGGUUUAAAGGGAGCGUAGAUGGGUUGUUAAGUCAGUUGUGAAAGUUUGCGGCUCAACCGUAAAAUUGCAAUUGAUACUGGCAGUCUUGAGUACAGUUGAGGUAGGCGGAAUUCGUGGUGUAGCGGUGAAAUGCUUAGAGAUCACGAAGAACUCCGAUUGCGAAGGCAGCUUACUAAACUGCCACUGACAUUGAUGCUCGAAAGUGUGGGUAUCAAACAGGAUUAGAUACCCUUGUAGUC
rnacentral:rRNA from 1 species